UUCCGGUUGAUCCCGCCGGACCUGACUGCUAUCGGAUUGAUACUAAGCCAUGCGAGUCAUUGUAGCAAUACAAGGCAGACGGCUCAGUAACGCGUAGUCAACCUAACCUAUGGAUGGGAAUAACCUCGGGAAACUGAGAAUAAUGCCCAAUAGAACACUAUACCUGGAAUGGUUUGUGUUCCAAAUGAUUUAUCGCCGUAGGAUGGGACUGCGGCCUAUCAGUUUGUUGGUGAGGUAAUGGCCCACCAAGACUAUUACAGGUACGGGCUCUGAGAGGAGUAGCCCGGAGAUGGGUACUGAGACACGGACCCAGGCCCUAUGGGGCGCAGCAGGCGAGAAAACUUUGCAAUGUGCGAAAGCACGACAAGGUUAAUCCGAGUGAUUUGUGCUAAACGAAUCUUUUGUUAGUCCUAGAACCACUAACGAAUAAGGGGUGGGCAAGUUCUGGUGUCAGCCGCCGCGGUAAAACCAGCACCUCAAGUGGUCAGGAUGAUUAUUGGGCCUAAAGCAUCCGUAGCCGGCUC
rnacentral:rRNA from 1 species